UUUUUGUUUGUUUUUG
rnacentral:sRNA from 1 species